UUCCAGCCCUGUUUUCCCUGAGCGUGAUGGAGAGCGACAAUCAAACAAGAGCCGCCCAUCUCAGCUGCCAGGGGCCUCACCAGAAAGGAAAAGAUCCAUCUCAGGGUACCAAGGAUCUCAGGGUACCGAGGAUUUCAAGAUCCACCACUGUGUUUCUAAUAAAGCCAUCAAGAGCACAACCGGGAGCUCCCUGCAUGAUCUUAAGCAAUAUAAGUCACUGCUUCAGAGGACUCUCUUAACUUGGGGCUGGAUGCACUCAAAAAUCUUCCAAGUUAUUCUCUCCUAAUUCAAGUCAGCUGAGGCAUCAAAAUGUCGGGCAGAUGGACAAGAUCCCUUGGCUGCAGCCAGCCUGUUUUCUGCUGUUACUCUUCUUGCAGUCAAAAAUUAGAGACUUUUAUUAUGAGGAAACUGAGACACUGUGAAAUUAAAAGCUUUGGGAAAUUAGUGCACAGUAAAUUACGGUGUGAAUUUACUGUGUACCAACCACCCCGCACGAACUCAUCAUGUGGACUGGCAAAGAAAAAGGAUUAAACUCCCUUAAAUUAUCUCACAUUUGCCAUGGACUGACAGCUGCCAUGGAUCAGCUGACACGUGGCAACUUCUCAACCUGCAUCGGUGAGGAGCCGUCCACGGGGAAGAGUUUAUUUGUCACGAAUUUCCCCGGCUGGUUUACCUAAAAAUCACAGAAGGAAAUCUCUGGCUGUGGAAAAACAGAGUGAGAGAAAAAGUGGAGGGCAUCAUCUGAAGCAAUCCACUGCGUCCCUUCAUGACACAUCUCCUCUGAAUGAAGCAGGAGGUCAUGGUGACUCUUGUAGAGAUGGUCUCUGCUGGAGCUGGAGGAGAUGAUGGAUUUGAAGAGAAAGUCUGUGGAUGUUUCCAGAAAUGAGCAAGAGGUGCAGCAUGAGCCCUGUGACAAGGACUUUAUGAAAAGAUGGAUUCUUGUGUUUUAUUCCACCAAUCUGAAAAGGCUGCCGUGCGGAUGAGGAGAGGGAAGGUGUGACACACACCAGGCAGGCUGG